rnacentral:sRNA from 1 species
GCCCAAAGUCGCACGAGCCUGUGGGCGUCCCCCGAUCCUCAAAUGCGAGGUCAUCGGGACGGUCCUGGAGAGAGCCUCCAGUCGGUUUCGCAGCCAGCGAAGUCGAGGACGCCUUAAAGCAACGACGGUGCGGGCCUUU